rnacentral:misc_RNA from 1 species
GAUGAAGAACGUAGCGAAAUGCGAUAAGUAAUGCGAAUUGCAGAAUUCCGUGAGUCAUCGAAUCUUUGAACGCACAUUGCGCCCUUUGGCAUUCCGAAGGGCAUGCCUGUUCGAGCGUCAUUUAUCAACCCUCAAGCCCGGCAUGCGGUUGGGUCCCGCCGUGGGCGACCACGGCGGACCCGAAAGGUAAUGGCGGUGCCCGUGGGGCCCUGGACGCAGCGAGCUUCUCGGCACGCGUCCCGGCGGUCCCCGGCGCCGUCUCCACCAAUCCACCACGCAGAUUGACCUCGGAUCAGGUAGGGAUACCCGCUGAACUUAAGCAUAUCAAUAAGCGGAGGA